rnacentral:misc_RNA from 1 species
ACCACCUAAAACCCCAAAAUUUUCUUCUGUUCGCACUCCAUUGUUAGCACUUAGCAGCCAGCAGCCAUGAAGAAGCUUACUCUUUCUCCAGCUCGUAGCUUUUGCCUGUCCAAAUCCUCCUCUCUACUCCGCUCCUCUGCAUUGAGAUGGCUUUCUUCUGAUUCAAAAUCAAUUCCAGAUCAAUCAUCUCAAUCUGUGCCUAUCCAGCCAGUAUCUUACGCUGUAAAGCCUAAAGACGAGGCACCUUCAAAUGAAAACGAAACCCCUUCUCAACAACAGGUGGCUUCCCAAUCACCAGCAUCACAAGAAGAGCAACAACAACAAUUUCCUAGAAGAACCCAAGAAUCACCAUAUCAAGAAUCCCGGAUGCGUUGGACUCGGGAGGACAUCCGAUACGUCAAAGAUGCGCCUUCAAUAUCCCCUGUAUCCUAUCCAGCACGCGUUGCUCCACUACCUGAGGAUAGGGUUGACGCUGAAGGUGGAGGAGGAAAAGCUGCGGCGGAUGAUAUGGAUAGAGAGAGUAGGAGGAUUGAGGCGGAGAACCAGGGGCUUAGGAGGAUAUUUAGGGUUGCGGGAGAGGAGGAGAAAGUGGUAGUGCCUUUCCCUAGAUUGAUCCUGCCAGAGAAGAAGGAAAAGAGACCACUUUUUGAUUUGAUGGAUGCUAUUAGACAAGUCAAG